AAAAAUGAGGAGGACUGUAGUAUGCUAUUAAAAGUCAAUGUAUUAACUUUUUUUAAACUAAUGUGAAGAGGGGUUUUAAUAAAAUAUAAACACCUGUAACUAUUCCUUAUGUGGUCAGUAACACUGAUGAUGAUCUACACUAACAGUCUAUCAACAUAGCUGUAAUGGCAGGAACUUUUCAAAGUAACUAUUCAUAUAAAAUAUGUUGCCACUUUUAACAAACAUUCUUCCCAACUACUCACAGCAUGCCUUGCUCCGUCUCUAAGGCAGCAGCUGGGUGCAAGGUGGAGUAGAGCAUGUUGGGAG